rnacentral:rRNA from 1 species
GAAGCGGACGAACGGCGGUAUAGGGAAACGUGAUUCAACCUGGGGCCCGUGAAAAGACGAGCAUGAUGUCCGUACCGAGAACCGACACAGGUGUCCAUGGCGGCGAAAGCCAAGGCCUGUCGGGAGCAACCAACGUUAGGGAAUUCGGCAAGUUAGUCCCGUACCUUCGGAAGAAGGGAUGCCUGCUCCGGAACGGAGCAGGUCGCAGUGACUCGGAAGCUCGGACUGUCUAGUAACAACACAGGUGACCGCAAAUCCGCAAGGACUCGUACGGUCACUGAAUCCUGCCCAGUGCAGGUAUCUGAACACCUCGUACAAGAGGACGAAGGACCUGUCAACGGCGGGGGUAACUAUGACCCUCUUAAGGUAGCGUAGUACCUUGCCGCAUCAGUAGCGGCUUGCAUGAAUGGAUUAACCAGAGCUUCACUGUCCCAACGUUGGGCCCGGUGAACUGUACAUUCCAGUGCGGAGUCUGGAGACACCCAGGGGGAAGCGAAGACCCUAUGGAGCUUUACUGCAGGCUGUCGCUGAGACGUGGUCGCCGAUGUGCAGCAUAGGUAGGAGACAUUACACAGGUACC